GGUAACUAUCUGUUUUUAAAUAAAAGCAGUUCGGUCUCGAAAACCGGAGUAGGGGCAACUCUACCGGGGGUUCAAAUCCCCCUCUCUCCGCCA
rnacentral:tRNA from 1 species